UUUCAUUUUUUUUUAAUUUGAUAUUUAUGAGCUUUUAAUUUAGUCAUGACACAAUUCAGAUAACUAUUUUAGAAACUUAUACCUCGUAUGUUUAAGGUUUUAACACAAAUCAUCUUGUUUACACUUACAAUUACCAUGCUGUUUACACAAUUUAGGAAUGUUCUAUUUUUAGAUUUUAACAUAGUUUAUAUUUUCGCAUUGUUAAGAUUUUCUGCUAUAACCUGAUGGAAUCUAUGUCAUUUAAUAAAUAAAAGUAUUGUUGCAUAAUCUAUAAAGACUUUUAUUAUUUAGUGCAUUUAUAUAAAUAACAUCUAGUUAUUUAGAUUAUUGGGUGCAAAAGCGUAAAAAAAAAAUGUUAAAACCACUGAUAUUGAAAAGGGGCUGUCAAAAACAUUGCAAAUCACUUCAGAAGGAAUUCGAUGCAGUUACUACUCUGUCAUUUUCUUAUUACCCUGGUUUGCUGGAGUUAAUUUAAGAUUAUGUAGCUAAUGAUUGUUUAAUAAACAUAUUAAGACAUGGUAUUAUUAGGUUUUAAGUAAAUAAAAUUAUAAUAGUGCUACUAUUGAAUGAGAAUUAGUUGUGAUUAUUUGAGGGCAGUCUGAAAAAUCAGUUCUUAAACCCUAAAUAUAACACAGUACACAUUGGAUCAUUAGUGGAAUUGAUGACAUCUUUAUAACCCUCAAAAUAAUACAGUACAAAAUGGAUUUAAAAAUCAAUGAUGAAUUAAGUUAUUAUACAGCUUAGCUAAAUUUUUGUGAGUCGUUAAAAAAACUUAAUUGAAUGGGGUUUUUUCAAGUUUAGGAAAAUUAUCUUUUGUAAUCCAUUUAUCUAUUUGUUUAGAUAUACUUGCACCAAUGAGAUGCUUGAGUAAUGGCUUCCAGCAAGAUUUACAUGAUCCAGUAAAUGCUGUCUGGAGAGUGCAGCAAUUUAUUUAAAAAGUAAAAAAAUUUAAACCACUGUUUGGUGGAAAGCAAAAAGUUUUUUAAUAAAGCAAACUAUUUUAACUUAGUACAAUUAACUGAA